UAAGGCCUAUGAUGGAAUAUAUGAUGAUAUGCCUACAUUGUCUGAUCAUUUUAACCUGAUUAAACAAAAUUUUGACUGAGGCCUUU